GACGAACGCUGGCGGCGUGCUUAACACAUGCAAGUCGAACGGAAAGGCCCUGCUUUUGUGGGGUGCUCGAGUGGCGAACGGGUGAGUAACACGUGAGUAACCUGCCCUUGACUUUGGGAUAACUUCAGGAAACUGGGGCUAAUACCGGAUAGGAGCUCCUGCUGCAUGGUGGGGGUUGGAAAGUUUCGGCGGUUGGGGAUGGACUCGCGGCUUAUCAGCUUGUUGGUGGGGUAGUGGCUUACCAAGGCUUUGACGGGUAGCCGGCCUGAGAGGGUGACCGGCCACAUUGGGACUGAGAUACGGCCCAGACUCCUACGGGAGGCAGCAGUGGGGAAUAUUGCACAAUGGGCGGAAGCCUGAUGCAGCAACGCCGCGUGCGGGAUGACGGCCUUCGGGUUGUAAACCGCUUUCGCCUGUGACGAAGCGUGAGUGACGGUAAUGGGUAAAGAAGCACCGGCUAACUACGUGCCAGCAGCCGCGGUGAUACGUAGGGUGCGAGCGUUGUCCGGAUUUAUUGGGCGUAAAGGGCUCGUAGGUGGUUGAUCGCGUCGGAAGUGUAAUCUUGGGGCUUAACCCUGAGCGUGCUUUCGAUACGGGUUGACUUGAGGAAGGUAGGGGAGAAUGGAAUUCCUGGUGGAGCGGUGGAAUGCGCAGAUAUCAGGAGGAACACCAGUGGCGAAGGCGGUUCUCUGGGCCUUUCCUGACGCUGAGGAGCGAAAGCGUGGGGAGCGAACAGGCUUAGAUACCCUGGUAGUCCACGCUGUAAACGGUGGGUACUAGGUGUGGGGUCCAUUCCACGGGUUCCGUGCCGUAGCUAACGCUUUAAGUACCCCGCCUGGGGAGUACGGCCGCAAGGCUAAAACUCAAAGGAAUUGACGGGGCCCCGCACAAGCGGCGGAGCAUGCGGAUUAAUUCGAUGCAACGCGUAGAACCUUACCUGGGUUUGACAUGGAUCGGGAGUGCUCAGAGAUGGGUGUGCCUCUUUUGGGGUCGGUUCACAGGUGGUGCAUGGCUGUCGUCAGCUCGUGUCGUGAGAUGUUGGGUUAAGUCCCGCAACGAGCGCAACCCUUGUUCACUGUUGCCAGCACGUUAUGGUGGGGACUCAGUGGAGACCGCCGGGCUCAACUCGGAGGAAGGUGGGGAUGACGUCAAGUCAUCAUGCCCCUUAUGUCCAGGGCUUCACGCAUGCUACAAUGGCUGGUACAGAGAGUGGCGAGCCUGUGAGGGUGAGCGAAUCUCGGAAAGCCGGUCUCAGUUCGGAUUGGGGUCUGCAACUCGACCUCAUGAAGUCGGAGUCGCUAGUAAUCGCAGAUCAGCAACGCUGCGGUGAAUACGUUCCCGGG
rnacentral:rRNA from 1 species